GUUCAGUGUGUAAAUUGUAAAACUAGAAAACAGUUCUCCGUUUCGGUUAUUUUCGAAAUUUUCCUUUUCUUUUUUUAAAAUUAUAUCAAAAUUUUGUAAUUUUUUAAUAGGUUUGAACUGUUUCACAAAUUUACAAAAAUUGUUUUUGAAAUUAAAAAUGCUACCCCUUCACUCAUUAUGGAAUCGCUCAGCUUUACGUAAUUUGGCAAAGUUGCCCAUUCUGCCUGCUCUACGCAUGAAGUCAAAGAAGAGUGGAAAGUGCGAUGGAGCUAAGAUUAAAAAACCGAAACCUUCUCCCUGCGGUGAUCCGGAAAAUAUGCUAAGGAAAAAACCGAAGGUAAACGAAAAAAAGCAGCCCAAGGAGCCAUCCAUAUGGCUAAAUCCAUUUUGUGACGAGGACGAGUCACACUGUCCAUUCAAUCCACGAUUCGAUGAUAUAUACUACGUUGAGUCUGAUAAGGCGAAUCGCAAGUAUUGGCAAACCUGGGUCGCAUGCCCGCCCGUUGCGAUAAAGCCGAAGAAGAUAUGCUGCUUCAAAGACGUCAAGGCGGCUCCGCUGCGUCGUCGCACCACCCCCAAACCGAAGACCGCAUGCCCACAGCCCGCCACCUGCGAUAAAUUCCCCCUGGACUGCCCACGCUUCAAGCGUCGCUGCCACAGAUCCGGCCGCAUUCCGCCAGAUUGCGUGAAAGUCAGGCGUCCUCUCAACUGCAGCAAGCCAUUGACGCCAUAUCCGGCUUUCUCCGAGUGCACGCGGAUCAAGCCUGGUGCACUGCCGCUGAGCGAGUGCAUUUGUUGGCAGAAGCCGAUGCUCUGCGAGGCAUGGGCUGAGUGGAGACGUCGCAGCUUGAGGAAGACGGCCAGAUAGAGGGCGAGCUCCCAUACUGCUGCAAGCCUGGUUUUUCGACUGCAGUCCUUGUAAGUCUUGUGGCAAUCGGCACCGGCGCGACCCGCAUCUCUGGCAUUAAUAUACUUUUCAGCAACAUUAUCUGCCGUGGGUCUGCAAAGAUAGAUGAUAUGGGGUAUCGGAACGAAUCUAAAACUUUCAGUCACUCACAUAAGUAUUGCGUUGGCGAUCUCACUGAAUAUGUUGCUAUUCUCAAAGGGCAAUUGAGAGAUCUCGCAGAUGCUGCGCAGCAAGCAAUUGGCGCCACGCUCACUGCCAUCCAGCCUGAAAUUGAAAUUCAGCCAUGAUUAUGAGGCAUUGAAGAACUCAGCUCGGUAACACUUACGCUGCCAUGCCGGUCUCAAUGACAUCGUAGACCCAGCUGCGCGUAUCAUCCCGAUGCAGAGUGGCCUGCAUGUUCUUGCGCAGUUGACGGGCUGUGGAGACAAAGGUUGUGGUGUUCCAAAAGCUCCACCAAAAGAUGGGUACUGUGGUGGGAAUGUACUGGCUUUGCAAGUUGUAAAAGAACCAGAACGACUGCUCCUUUUCCACCUGCUUCACAGGAUGCGCAAUACUGACAACGAACUGUAAACAUCGAUCAAUUAACAUUCAAUAUUUAAAUGGCAACACGCUUGGCUCGACUUAGUUUUGCGCUCGGACUUAUUUGACUCAGAUUUGCGGACCCAGACGUGAGAUCAGAGCCAAAGCCUGGCUCGAAGCUACUCGUAUGCGCAGCUGCGAGUCCACCAAUAGCCAGCAGCAGCAGCACGCUGAGAAUUCUCUGCUCUUGGCUUAGACUCAUCUUGUUGUCAUUUGGCCGUUUGGCUUACUAAUGCGUUCGGUAUACCAAGCGAAGCAAUUGUGCAGACGAGACCAGAAGACACGCAACAUUUAUUUAUUUAAAAAAUUUACAGCUGAGCUGAGAAAUUAAGAAAAGACAUGAAGCUUUGUUUAAUACCCUGAGCCCAUUAGGGAAUGCCAGUUUCGAGUACCACGAUUUUAUUAAGCCCUCUGGCAUAUGGUAUAUGGUAUUCUUGAUUAGGAUUAACUACAGAGAAUAUAUACAUACUAUAUACUAUA